rnacentral:rRNA from 1 species
AUGAACGCUGGCGGCGUGCCUAAUACAUGCAAGUCGAGCGAACAGAUGAGGAGCUUGCUCCUCUGACGUUAGCGGCGGACGGGUGAGUAACACGUGAAUAACCUACCUAUAAGACUGGGAUAACUUCGGGAAACCGGAGCUAAUACCGGAUAAUAUAUUGAACCGCAUGGUUCAAUAGUGAAAGACGGUUUUGCUGUCACUUAUAGAUGGAUCCGCGCCGCAUUAGCUAGUUGGUAAGGUAACGGCUUACCAAGGCAACGAUGCGUAGCCGACCUGAGAGGGUGAUCGGCCACACUGGAACUGAGACACGGUCCAGACUCCUACGGGAGGCAGCAGUAGGGAAUCUUCCGCAAUGGGCGAAAGCCUGACGGAGCAACGCCGCGUGAGUGAUGAAGGUCUUCGGAUCGUAAAACUCUGUUAUUAGGGAAGAACAAAUGUGUAAGUAACUAUGCACGUCUUGACGGUACCUAAUCAGAAAGCCACGGCUAACUACGUG